CCGCAAUUACAGUCCAGGAAACUCUGCAUUAACCCGGCGUCAGUCAGGUUGGGUCAUUAUGAAUCGGGCAGUUUUCACUUGUGUGUAUUUUUGUGUAAUGUAAUGCGACGUUCCCAAACUUCAAGUAGAUGGAGUUACUGUAUGAAGCCUCACUUCUUGUUUUUCACCACAGCUUAGUUGAGGUGCGACUGCGCAGGGAGAUAGAUGUGCGCAAACAUCAAAAAGAGGAAUCUGAUUCAGAACAAAGUGAACAUUCGACAGAUAGUGAGGAAAAUGAAGAUCACGUCAGUAUACGCAGCCAGCAGAGUGACACAGAGCAGGAGGCUUCUGACAGCAAUGAUAAUAUACCUCUGAGUGCACUACAGCAUCAAAUACGUUCCUCAGUAUCUAGUCUUCCUCAUCCUCAGCAAGAUUCUUCAAGCACAAACACCCACCAGACUUCAGAAAUCCAGGUACAAACAUCACAAUAUGUGGUCAAAGACAGGACUAAAUGGCAAAAGCAACCUUUUCGACAGAAUGUACGUACCCGGCUGGAAAAUAUAGCGCCUUGAGUCCUAUUGGAGAAAGAGCGCUAUAUAAAUAAAAUUAUUCUUAUUUAUAUUGUAAAAUAUAAUUACACAGGUGCCAGGAGUACGGCCACAAGCAAAAUCUGCUACAUUAGAAAUAGAUUGCUGGAGUCUUUUUUUUACAAGUGAAAUGUUGCAAAUAGUUCUCUCAUACAAAUGCACAAAUUAGGAAAAAAAUAGCAGCAUGUCAAGAUCCAUCAAAAUAUAGCUAUAUGAAGAAAUGCACUUUCGCUUGACUAUGUCACAAAGACGUUUUCAUUUUAUCCAGAGUCACCUGUGCUUCGAUGACAAGUUGACCUGCAACGAAAGGAAAUUAUUAGACUUCUAAUGUCUUUUAUUUCACAUAAAUAACCUUUUUAUGAGACUUUUAACUAAAAUAUACAGACGGAUUUACAAAUCUUUGAAAAAAAAAUAAGAAAUGUGGGGUUAAAUAUUUCAGGGUAAUUUUGACCCACCUGACUGCCGGUGUAACAAUUUUCUACCGUACUGACGCCGAGUUAAACUGUGACUGAGCUCCCUUGCCAUAAAUACACCCUAUUGCUGAUUUUCCAUUUGGUAUGGGACCCCUUAAUCAAGUGUGCAAGCAAUUCCUUAUCUGUUCAGAGGGAUAUACUAUACCAAAUUAAACUGUACUGUACUAUUUUUGCAA